rnacentral:rRNA from 1 species
GGGCCCGCACAAGCGGUGGAGCAUGUGGUUUAAUUCGAAGAUACGCGCAGAACCUUACCAACACUUGACAUGUUCGUCGCGACUCUAAGAGAUUAGAGUUUUCGGUUCGGCCGGACGAAACACAGGUGCUGCAUGGCUGUCGUCAGCUCGUGUCGUGAGAUGUUGGGUUAAGUCCCGCAACGAGCGCAACCCUCACUUUUAGUUGCCAUCAUUAAGUUGGGCACUCUGAAAGAACUGCCAGUGAUAAGCUGGAGGAAGGUGGGGAUGACGUCAAGUCCUCAUGGCCCUUACGUGUUGGGCUACACACGUGCUACAAUGGUAUCUACAACAGGAAGCAAGACGGCGACGUCAAGCAAAUCCUUAAAAGAUACCUCAGUUCGGAUUGCACUCUGCAACUCGAGUGCAUGAAGCUGGAAUU